GUGGAAGCAUCUUAACUUCUAACCACUGUCAGUGACAGGUACAAUGGUGCAUAUGAAUUGAUGCAUCUGAAGCCUGUAAGUCAAGUGCUACAAGGAAAGGCAUCCCUAAUUCUUUUUUAAGAUGAAUUUAUUAGUAGUUUGACCAAGCUAGCACUUGGAAUAAUACAUUCUCUUUCUUCUUGGAUUCUGUGUCCACAUCAUACACUUCCUGCAAGGCGUGAAAUGACUAGCUGCAUGUUUUUAAAUAAUUGGGAUGGAGUGAGUUUUCUUCACUCAUGUACACAUGAUUAUUGCUCCAUUGCUCUUGGUAUUGCUUUGAAUAUUUUUCUUCCUUACAUUAAAUGCAAAUACAAUAGACAAUUUGGAGAUAUUUUCCAGCUAGUGAAUAGCACAAGACUUACAAUUCUUGAAAAGAAAUGCUUCUAAUCCAAACACACUUCUGCAUUUUUAUGUCUGAUUCUAUUUUCUGUUUUAAAAUGGCAUCUUGAAUGAUCUUCAUACAGAAGCAAUCUUUAUCCCUAUUCAAAGCUGCUGAUUUUGCAGGAAAGGAGAAGAAAGGCUAUUCUUUAAAUUAUACCUUUCAUCAACCUGAAAUAAACACAAGUAGUAAGUCUGGAAGUCUUUGAAAAGAGAGACAGAGACACAGAACAAGAGAAAGAGAGAAAUUUUAUUUCCUUGCAGUUUGCAGAUGUUAAUUACCCUGAAUAUUGUAAAGGAAGCUGAAGCAGCUGGCAUGGAUUUUUGACAACCACAUUUAAAUUGUUUAUAAGAAACUCUGUCUGGUAAACUUGGGUGUUUUAGAUGCAAGGAGAGAUUGCGGCAUCUGAAAUCUGAGAAAGAAAACCAAAAGCAUUGGGUAUGCUCAGAGAUUAUGCAGUAGGAUGCAAGGUCAUUUAUAAACAGAAUGAAAAUCAGACAGGUCAAAGCUAGGCCUCUUGAACAAACAUUGAAUAGUUAUACCAUGUUCAAUGUGUGCAAAUCUUGAAUGAAACUCAUUAUAGAGAUCUAUAGAGAGAAAGGCCAAGGCAUAUCAUCCUAAAAAGAAAAUAUUAAUAUAAAUUUCUGAAAUCCUUAUUCAGAAAUGCAUAAGAAAGCAAAGGAAUUUUAUGGAAGAUAUUCACCACCAGCAAGAAAGUCAUACUUCAAUCCUCCAGAAUAGAUUACUUCUGAUUUGAAAGCAUUGGUUACAUGAAAACCGUGUGACAACCUUGGAAGUCUGAAAGAGCAGGAGAGAGGCUAAGCACACACAUAUUGUGAUUUUAAGAGUCUCAAGGUGAGAAGAAACAUCAGAAGCAGUUGAGAGACCAGGACGUGGGUCCUCAAAGGAUGAACAGAAGUUCUUUUGGAUAACAUUUUAAAAUGUUUCCUCCAGAGUUAUCUGCCUCAUUAACAAUGGUUUGAGUCUCAAGAGUCUCUCUUCGAUUUUACAAACAUGAUUUGUUGCUCUGCUAUAAAUGCAUGCUGCUCUAGUCCUUCAAUAAACCCACAACAUGUUUUCACCAUU
rnacentral:lncRNA from 1 species